rnacentral:rRNA from 1 species
UCAGACGAUGCGUCAUGCAUAUCAAUAAGCGGAGGAAAAGAGACUAACAAGGAUUCCCCUAGUAACGGCGAGUGAAGCGGGAAGAGCUCAAAUUUGAAAUCUUAAAGGGUUUCCCUUUACGAAUUGUAGUUUAAAGAAGUGUUUUCUGUUGAGGUUUUGGUAAAAGUUCUUUGGAAUAGGACAUCAUAGAGGGUGAGAAUCCCGUAUUUGACCUUUACUUUCAACUUUGUGAUACACUUUCAAAGAGUCGGAUUGUUUGGGAAUGCAGUCCAAAAUGGGUGGUAAAUUUCAUCUAAAGCUGAAUAUUGGCGAGAGACCGAUAGCGAACAAGUACCGUGAGGGAAAGAUGAAAAGAACUUUGAAAAGAGAGUUAAACAGUACGUGAAAUUGUCAAAAGGGAAGCGUUUGACACCAGUGUUGUUUUUCUGAAAAUCAAUUAAAGAACUGUUUAUGCUAAGCUGUUUAGACUUUAUCAGCUAUCUGUUUAGUUUUGAGCUUUUCUUUAAUGCACUUUUCAGUUAACAAGUCAACAUCAAUUUCUUUUGCUGUAAAAAAGCUUGAGGAAGGUGGCUUGAGAUUCGUCUUAAGUGUUUAUAGCCUCUUGCCUAUGCAGUCGGAGAGAUUGAGGUCUGCAGCGUAGAUCCUUCGGGGCUAAAUGCAUUUGUGCUAAGUUAUAGCAUUUUAUAGACAACUUGUUGACUAUGAUUUGUCUUGUAGCUUACUCGCUUAUGUUAUUUUACCUACGCUUAGGAUGUUGACACACGCGCGUGCUCG